rnacentral:tRNA from 1 species
GCCAGGGUAGCUCAGGUGGUUAGAGCGUCGGACUCAUAACCCGAAGGUCGGCGGUUCAAGUCCGCCUCCUGGUACCA